AGUUAGCUUCUCUACAGGGCCAAAAUGGGUUUUACCAGGAGGGUGGCUGGUGUCUCCCUUAGAUACAGGGUGAGAAUCUCUGUCAUUUGUGAGGAGCUCGGCAUAGAGCCGCUGGUCCUUCAUGUUGAAAGAAGCCAGCUGAGGUGGUUCAGGCACCUGGUAAGGAUGCCCUCUGAGCACCUCCUUUGGGAGGUGUUCCAGCCCUGUCCAGCUGGGAGGAGACCCCAGGGAAGACCCAGAACUAGGUGGAGAGAUUAUAAAG